rnacentral:misc_RNA from 1 species
UCCAGUGUUACAGAGGCUACAGACAUGGACGUGGACUCCAGUGUUACAGAGGCUACAGACAUGGACGUGGACUCCAGUGUUACAGAGGCUACAGACAUGGACGUGGACUCCAGUGUUACAGAGGCUAUAGGACAUGGACUACAGAGGCUACAGCCAUGGACGUGGGCUGCAGUGUUACAGUUUUCCCAAGGCUACAGACAUGGACAUGGACUGCAGUGUUACAGAGGCUGCAACCAGGGACGUGGACGCCAGUGUUACAGAGGCUUUAGACAUGGACUACACAGGCUACAGCCAUGGACGUGGGCAGCAGUGUUACAGUUUUCCCGAGGCUACAGACAUGGACGUGGACGCCAGUGUUACAGAGGCUACAGACAGGGACGUGGACGCCAGUGUUACAGAGGCUACAGCCAGGUCUGUGGACGCCAGUGUUACAGAGGGUACAGACAUGGACGUGGACUCCAGUGUUACAGAGGCCACAGACAGGGACGUGGACUCCAGUGUUACAGAGGCUAUAGACAUGGACUACAGAGGCUACAGCCAUGGACGUGGGCUGCAGUGUUACAGUUUUCCCGAGGCUACAGACAUGGACGUGGACGCCAGUGUUACAGAGGCUACAGACAGGGACUUGGACUCCAGUGUUACAGAGGCUACAGCCAGAGACGUGGACUGCAGUGUUACAGUUUUCCCGAGGCUACAGACAGGGACGUGGACGCCAGUGUUACAGAGGCUACAGCCAUGGACGUGGACUCCAGUGUUACAGAGGCUACAGACAUGACGUGGACGCCAGUGUUACAGAGGCUACAGCCAUGGACGUGGGCUGCAGUGUUACAGUUUUCCCGAGGCUACAGACAUGGACGUGGACGCCAGUGUUACAGAGGCUACAGACAGGGACUUGGACUCCAGUGUUACAGAGGCUACAGCCAGAGACGUGGACUGCAGUGUUACAGUUUUCCCGAGGCUACAGACAGGGCCGUGGACGCUAGUGUUACAGAGGCUACAGCCAUGGACGUGGGCUGCAGUGUUAGUUUUUCCCGAGGCUACAGACAUGGACGUGGACGCCAGUGUUACAGAGGCUACAGACAGGGACUUGGACUCCAGUGUUACAGAGGCUACAGACAGGGACGUGGACUCCAGUGUUACAGAGGCUACAGACAUGGAUGUCGACGCCAGUGUUACAGAGGCUAUAGGCAGGGCCGUGGACUCCAGUGUUACAGAGGCUACAGCCAGAGACGUGGACUGCAGUGUUACAGUUUUCCCGAGGCUACAGACAGGGCCGUGGACGCCAGUGUUACAGAGGCUACAGACAGGGCCGUGGACUCCAGUGUUACAGAGGCUACAGCCAGAGACGUGGACUGCAGUGUUACAGUUUUCCCGAGGCUACAGACAGGGCCGUGGACGCUAGUGUUACAGAGGCUACAGCCAUGGACGUGGGCUGCAGUGUUACAGUUUUCCCGAGGCUACAGACAUGGACGUGGACGCCAGUUUUACAGAGGCUACAGACAGGGACUUGGACUCCAGUGUUACAGAGGCUACAGACAGGGACGUGGACUCCAGUGUUACAGAGGCUACAGACAUGGAUGUCGACGCCAGUGUUACAGAGGCUAUAGGCAGGGCCGUGGACUCCGGUGUUACAGAGGCUACAGACAGGGCCGUGGACGUCAGUGUUACAGAGGCUACAGCCAGGGACGUGGACGCCAGUGUUACAGAGGCUACAGACAUGGACGUGGACUCCAGUGUUACAGAGACUAUAGACAUGACGUGGACUCCAGUGUUACAGAGGUUACAGUCAUGGACGUGGACUCCAGUGUUACAGAGGCUAUAGACAUGGACUACAGAGGCUACAGCCAUGGACGUGGGCUGCAGUGUUACAGUUUUCCCGAGGCUACAGACAUGGACGUGGACGCCAGUGUUACAGAGGCUACAGACAGGGACUUGGACUCCAGUGUUACAGAGGCUACAGCCAGAGACGUGGACUGCAGUGUUACAGUUUUCCCGAGGCUAGACAGGGCCGUGGACGCUAGUGUUACAGAGGCUACAGACAGGGCCGUGGACGCUAGUGUUAAAGAGGCUACAGACAUGGAUGUCGACUCCAGUGUUAAGGAGGCUACAGACAUGGACGUGGAACCAGUGUUACAGAUGCUACAGACAUGGAUGUAGACGCCAGUGUUACAGAGGCUAUAGACAGGGCCGUGGACGCCAGUGUUACAGAGGCUACAGACAUGGACGUGGACUCCAGUGUUACAGAGGCUACAGACAUGGACGUGGACUCCAGUGUUACAG